UAAAAGGUUCAGAUGCUAGGACAAUUAUGUUGGCAAGCGUUCUAUCUUCUGAACCUUUUGGA
rnacentral:pre_miRNA from 1 species